AUGAACGCUGGCGGCGUGCCUAAUACAUGCAAGUCGAGCGAACAGAUGAGGAGCUUGCUCCUCUGACGUUAGCGGCGGACGGGUGAGUAACACGUGGAUAACCUACCUAUAAGACUGGGAUAACUUCGGGAAACCGGAGCUAAUACCGGAUAAUAUAUUGAACCGCAUGGUUCAAUAGUGAAAGACGGUUUUGCUGUCACUUAUAGAUAGAUCCGCGCCGCAUUAGCUAGUUGGUAAGGUAACGGCUUACCAAGGCAACGAUGCGUAGCCGACCUGAGAGGGUGAUCGGCCACACUGGAACUUAGACACGGUCCAGACUCCUACGGGAGGCAGCAGUAGGGAAUCUUCCGCAAUGGGCGAAAGCCUGACGGAGCAACGCCGCGUGAGUGAUGAAGGUCUUCGGAUCGUAAAACUCUGUUAUUAGGGAAGAACAAAUGUGUAAGUAACUAUGCACGUCUUGACGGUACCUAAUCAGAAAGCCACGGCUAACUACGUG
rnacentral:rRNA from 1 species